rnacentral:rRNA from 1 species
UACGUAGGGGGCGAGCGUUAUCCGGAUUUACUGGGUGUAAAGGGAGCGCAGGCGGCAGGGCAAGUCAGAUGUGAAAUACCGGGGCUCAACCCCGGGACUGCAUUUGAAACUGUCCGGCUGGAGUGCAGGAGAGGCAGGCGGAAUUCCUAGUGUAGCGGUGAAAUGCGUAGAUAUUAGGAGGAACACCAGUGGCGAAGGCGGCCUGCUGGACUGUAACUGACGCUGAGGCUCGAAAGCGUGGGGAGCAAACAGG